UACGUAGGGGGCAAGCGUUGUCCGGAUUUAUUGGGCGUAAAGAGCGUGUAGGCGGCCUGAAAGGUCAGCUGUGAAAACUCGAGGCUCAACCUCGAGACGUCGGUUGAAACCAUCUGGCUAGAGUCCGGAAGAGGAGUGUGGAAUUCCCGGUGUAGCGGUGAAAUGCGCAGAUAUCGUUUGGAACGCCAAUGGUGAAAACAGGUUGCUGGGAGUGUGCUGACGCUGAGACACGAAAGCCAGGGGAGCAAACGGG
rnacentral:rRNA from 1 species